CAAACUGGAGAUGGCGACCGGCGCACGGGUGAGUAACACGUAUCCAACCUGCCGAUAACUCGGGGAUAGCCUUUCGAAAGAAAGAUUAAUACCCGAUGGUAUAAUCAGACCGCAUGGUUUGAUUAUUAAAGAAUUUCGGUUACCGAUGGGGAUGCGUUCCAUUAGGCAGUUGGUGAGGUAACGGCUCACCAAACCUUCGAUGGAUAGGGGUUCUGAGAGGAAGGUCCCCCACAUUGGAACUGAGACACGGUCCAA
rnacentral:rRNA from 1 species